GUAGGUGGCAAGCGUUGUCCGGGAAUUAUUGGGCGUAAAGCGCGCGCAGGCGGUCCUUUAAGUCUGAUGUGAAAGCCCACGGGCUCAACCGUGAGGGUCAUUGGAAACUGGGGGACUUGAGUACAGAAGAGGAAAGCGGAAUUCCACGUGUAGCGGUGAAAUGCGUAGAGAUGUGGAGGAACACCAGUGGCGAAGGCGGCUUUCUGGUCUGUAACUGACGCUGAGGCGCGAAAGCGUGGGGAGCAAACAGGAUUAGAUACCCUGGUAGUCCACGCCGUAAACGAUGAGUGCUAAGUGUUAGGGGGUUUCCGCCCCUUAGUGCUGCAGCUAACGCAUUAAGCACUCCGCCUGGGGAGUACGGCCGCAAAGGCUG
rnacentral:rRNA from 1 species